rnacentral:lncRNA from 1 species
AUGAGGCUUCCGAGGAGAGUCCUGUUCGCAAAUGGUGCCUUACGCGAGUUUCCACAGAACCAGCAGAAGCUACCCCUUGCAUAUCCAGUCAUAACUACAGAAGAGAGGAGCAGCGGUCGGCCUUCUUCUGGUGUGAUAGCUUCCCAGUCAUUCCUAACCACGCCUGGAACUUUCACCUGGUACCUCUCAUGACAUUGUGAAUUCAACCAUGGUAAAGUGGCAGCCCACAGGAUCAAGCUGAGAAAAUGUUUUUGUCUGAGCCCUGAGUCUUCAAGACCUUGGAGAUCUUUGUACCAAGGUAAUGAAAAGUCUUUGAGCCUCGUCAGGUGCCUUGAGUGCAGAUUUCCCUCUCUUUAUGCUUUCUGGAAGCAAGCACUCUGUUGCAUGUUCCUUGAUUUCCUCAUGCAACCCGUGCCUUUCCAAAGCAGUAGCCGCUCCAUCUCCC